rnacentral:misc_RNA from 1 species
GAUGAAGAACGUAGCGAAAUGCGAUAAGUAAUGUGAAUUGCAGAAUUCAGUGAAUCAUCGAAUCUUUGAACGCUCAUUGCGCCCCCUGGUAUUCCGGGGGGCAUGCCUGUUCGAGCGUCAUUACAACCCUCAAGCUCUGCUUGGUAUUGGGCCCCGCCAGUUCUGGCGGGCCCUAAAGUCAGUGGCGGUGCCUUCCGGCUCCGAGCGUAGUAAUUCUUCUCGCUCUGGAGACCCGGUUGUGUGCUUGCCAACAACCCCCAAUUUUUUAAGGUUGACCUCGGAUCAGGUAGGGAUACCCGCUGAACUUAAGCAUAUCAAUAAGCGGAGGA